rnacentral:rRNA from 1 species
UUAAAUUGAAGAGUUUGAUCAUGGCUCAGAUUGAACGCUGGCGGCAGGCCUAACACAUGCAAGUCGAACGGUAACAGGAAGAAGCUUGCUUCUUUGCUGACGAGUGGCGGACGGGUGAGUAAUGUCUGGGAAACUACCUGAUGGAGGGGGAUAACUACUGGAAACGGUAGCUAAUACCGCAUAAC